rnacentral:lncRNA from 1 species
GCUGAGCACUUGACAAACCUCCUCUCCCCAGGUGAUGGCAGCAAUCUGUGAAGCCAGUCACACUAAACUACUUCUACAGUUGAUUGUAAACUUUGGUUUAUUUUUAUUUUCUUUUUAUUGAGUUCUCAUGGUACAGCAAGCAUGUCUAGGAUGAGAGGGCAGAGUUGAAGAGGAGAUGUACUGUCAGUCUGUCUUUAGUCUGGCAUGGUGAGACACCUGCUCGGUCAGGCCUGCUUUGAUAGAGUUUCUAACAGACUGCCUCAUAUGAUCCUCCACCAAAUUAUCACUCAUGGGCUUCAACACCUGUUCCCAUAUAGCUUCAGCGAUCUGAUCGAUGGCUGUUCCAACUUCUCUGAAUUCCCCAGAGUACUUAACGUAUGCCCAAGUACAAAAGGAUAUAAGAGCCAUCCCCAGCACGAGAUUACACAGGGUAGCUAUGGAGUUCAUACCAAGGAACCCAGUCAGUCCUGAGAUUAUAUACAUGGCAAACAUGACUGCAAAUAGAGUGGCAGGGGUACGAGCAGCGUAAAAUAUGUUUUUGCCAUCAUUGUGCUUCACAAAGUUUGCAUAGAUCUCGUCGAUUUCUGCCUCAAGCUGUUCCUGGUAGCGCCGACAGAACUCCUCCCCUCCCAUCUUCUUCACAGAGCAGAACUGCUUGACAGCUGACUCUUUGAAAUCCUGGUGCUUUCGCUCAAGGUCCGAUGGGGCAAUAUAAGGCUUAUCUCCUCCACAAAUCUGCUCCAUGCCUUUACUGUACAAGUCUUUUGCUCCUGCCACAGCAGCAAGAUUGUUUGCCUCAGCUGUUGCCUGCAGCAUAGACUUUGGAUGAGGUAGC